CUUUAGCAUCAAGUAUUAAAGGUGACGCCUGCCCAGUGAUUAAUUAAACGGCCGCGGGAUCCUCCACCGUGCAAAGGUAGCAUAAUCACUUGUCCCCUAAAUAGUGACUAGUAUGAACGGCCUAAUGAAGAUUUAACUGUCUCUUAUAACCAAUCUAUGAAACUAAUCUACCAGUACAAAAACUGAAAUACUACCAUAAGACGAAAAGACCCUGUGGAACUUUAAGCAUAAUCCAACCAUAAUGGCCCCCAUGCUUUCAGUUGGGGCAACUUUGGAAAAAAACAGAACUUCCAAUAUACUAUAAGGUGCACACACCUAUUUUUUAAAUAUCUGACCCAGUAUCACUGAUUAAAGAACCAAGCUACCCCAGGGAUAACAGCGCCAUCCCCUCCAAGAGCCCAAAUCGACGAGUGGGGUUUACGACCUCGAUGUUGGAUCAGGGCACCCAAACAGUGCAACCGCUGUUAAAGGUUUGUUUGUUCAACAAUUAAAGC
rnacentral:rRNA from 1 species